AUGGGUGCAGACGUGCAGAGCCAUUAUUACACCUCCAGGCUAUUAGUUGUCUGUCCAAAACGUUCAGCUCUUUCUAUUGCAAAUCCUCAAUUUAAUUUUGUCAUUGCAUAGGAUACUCUUACAGGGAACUGACGUCGUUUCAGCUUGAAUGGCCAUCUUGCAUCUGUUGGUGUAAGACUUAUUCUAGGAAUAAGAACCCGUUUUCCUACGUAAGUUCCGGUGUUGUGCCGUCACCGAUACCUAUCAGCCAUUUAGCAAAAUCUUUCUCAGCUUGGUGGAACCUCAUAUUUUUCUCAAGAGUGAAUAUGGAGCAGUAGUUCCAUAAAUAUGAACGGUUGAUUGUUGCCAUAACAGUUUGUUGCCUCGUGCCUUGUGGAAUGACUGGUAGAAUUUGUCUAAAAUCACCACCAAGGAGUACUGUUUUCCCUCCAAAGGGUUUUGUUGCUGCAGCUGGAUCUGUCACAGAGAGUAAAUCUCGCAGAGUUCUAUCAAGAGCUUCAAAAACAAAUCGAUGACACAUAGGUGCUUCAUCCCAGAUGAUGAGAUCUAUCGGAAUCUUGAACCGCGAGUGUGCUGUUCUACCAUUAGGUAAAAGUAUAGCUGCGAUUCCAGAUGAUGCCACUGGUAGUACAAUUUUUCCCUGUGAUCUUAACUUUGAGAUGAUUGUCUUAUAAACAUAGGUUUUUCCUGUUCCUCCUGGUCCAUUGAGAAAAAAUAAUUUCCCUUUCAUACAGUCAAUUGAGUCAAGAACCGCUUCAUAUACUUUCUUCUGCUCUUCAUUUAAUGUUUGUAUUAACUUGAUAUGCUCUUCUUCUUGUUCAAGAAUAUUGUAACUUGUUUCAUCUCUGAGCAUUGAGUUUUUCAGUUUCUUCAUCAGUUCACUGUCUGGCUUUGGCAUGUCAUCAAAAUCGGCUAUGUCUUCAGCUAAGUGACGCCAACAAUGCUCCCACAGAAGGCAAGGACUGCUUAAUUCGCAGUAAAGUAACAAUGUGACAAAAAGAUGGCGAAGCUGGGAAGGAUAUGCAUAUUGUGCUGCUUCAUCCAUAGCCUGUUUCCAUUCUGAGUCACCAUUCAACAAUCCUCUUGCAUAACACGCUUCUUUGAAUGACUUGUGUUUGACAUUGUCGACUGUUUUCAUAUCAUCAAAGCUUGUCGGCCCUUUGAGUUUUUGCAUCUGAAUCCCACACGAAUUUUGUUGGGAACUGGGCAUAUGUAAGUUCUCUUGCUUCAGGACAUUGUUUGCACAUCUCAAAAUAUUCUGUGUACCGGUAACCUUGUUACGGCAGGUUUUCGUUCAUGUAUAUCAAAGGCAAAAAUUCGCCAAGAAGCUUCACAUGCAGAGAGAUACUUUAUGGCGGAUGAUCUACUGCACCAUUCAACAUUGAUAUGAGCUUUGUAUUUUUUAAGAAGCCGGAGAUUGUGAGGGUCUUGGAAACUUUUUUGUGCAUCUGUUAUCAACCAUACACUUUGAUCCACAUGGUCCAUGCAUCAUUAGUUGUUCAACUAAUAGAAAACCUUCCGGAUCAGUCUCUUUAUCUGGUAACUCAGAGUUAUGGUAAUGAAGAGAUCCGGAUUUCCAUACCAUCUGCAUAUUGCCAUUGCAUCUCGAUAAUUCUCGACCAUAUAUCGCGGUCCGCCUGUGAACGAAGAAGUAUAUGCGUCGACUAUGUAUUGGUGGAAAAGACGUUCUGAACGAACUAUUGUUCCUGGAAGUGUCAAUCGGGAUGCACUAUAAUAUCUCUAUCGGAGUUUGGGAAAGACAUGUCACCCACAAUAAGUCCUGCAAUUUCGUCUCCUUGUGGUCGUUUUCUUUUCCUUUUGAUAACGCGUUGAGACGGUUUUGAAGUUCGUUGGCGGUAUCAUAUAUGUAUAGCUGUGCAAAACGGGGUAUAUCUCCUUCGGCCGGUAGUAAAGAUCCCAUUCUGUGGUAGUUUUGACCAUGCAUACGAAAAGUGAAUGGACCAUUUCCUGAAUUGAUAUCGUAAUCGAUUUUCCCUCCCAUAGAAGAGGUUCGCGGGAUUGACGUAGGGAUAACUCGUCCUUGCUGACAGCAGAUUGAAAAUCUCAGCUCUUUGCCUUUCACUUUCAAGCUUUCUGAUUUCCACACCAAGGCUUUGCAGUACCUAUGCUUUUAUCCUGUUGAGCAGAGGAGAAUAAGAAUAUUUCCUUUUCGAUACCAAAGAAGCAUGUUUCCUUUUCCCAACAAAUGUAAUUAGUUUUCUAUAGUUUGUUGAUUCGGUACGUCUUUCCUUUUUGCAUUAGCUAGCAUAUUUACUUUUUAACCAUUUUGUGCUUAUUUUCAUAAUUUUAUUAUUUUUGUUGUGAAAGAAAAUAAGAUUGUACUUUUCUAUAA